CCAACGAAUCACUUAUAAUUGAAAUGAUAAUCGCCGAUGGCACGCCCACGGUACACAGACAAUUAAUCUUAAUUUUACUAUAUAGCCGAUAUGCAUUAGAACCAAUGAAAACAUUUUAUGUAUGGAGCUAGAAAAGUUUAAAAAAAGUUCCUUGGCUUGAAUUCUGUAGUAAUUCGAUCUUAUCGUUAAUAAUCUGAAGUGUACUACAGCAGCAGCAAUAAUGCGAUGGAAAUCGUUUUUAACAGCAUAUAAAAGCGGGUUUUAUUGGAUAAAUUCAUUUUAUAUAUAUUAUGUUUAUUGGGGUUAUUUUUCGUUUUCCCUCGAGAGGCGACACGACGAGAUACAUAUUGAUGCGAACCGUGACGACGACGACGACGUUAACUGAUUGUUUAUACGGACAGCAGCGUAUAGUUAACGGUAAUUGAUGAUGAUUUACAAAAACCUACGCGUUUUUCUUUUUUCUUUUUUUUUUUUUGAUACGGAGGGCAGCGAGGGAUGUAUUGGUUUUACCAUGAUGUGUGGUUUUCUUUUUUGUCUGUGAAAAAAUUUCAUACCAGAAAUCUUGAUCCGAUCAUUAAGUGUAGCAUCU